AGAGUUUGAUUUUGGCUCAGGAUGAACGCUGGCGGCGUGCUUAACACAUGCAAGUCGAACGGGAAACCUAUUAUUGAAGCUUCGGCAGAUUUAAUUUGUUUCUAGUGGCGGACGGGUGAGUAACGCGUGGGUAACCUGCCCUAUACAGGGGGAUAACAACCAGAAAUGGUUGCUAAUACCGCAUAAGCGCACAGGACCGCAUGGUCCGGUGUGAAAAACUCCGGUGGUAUAGGAUGGACCCGCGUUGGAUUAGUUAGUUGGCAGGGUAACGGCCUACCAAGGCGACGAUCCAUAGCCGGCCUGAGAGGGUGAACGGCCACAUUGGGACUGAGACACGGCCUAGACUCCUACGGGAGGCAGCAGUGGGGAAUAUUGCACAAUGGGGGAAACCCUGAUGCAGCGACGCCGCGUGAAGGAAGAAGUAUCUCGGUAUGUAAACUUCUAUCAGCAGGGAAGAUAGUGACGGUACCUGACUAAGAAGCCCCGGCUAACUACGUGCCAGCAGCCGCGGUAAUACGUAGGGGGCAAGCGUUAUCCGGAUUUACUGGGUGUAAAGGGAGCGUAGACGGAUUAGCAAGUCUGAUGUGAAAGGCAGGGGCUCAACCCCUGGACUGCAUUGGAAACUGCCAGUCUUGAGUGCCGGAGAGGUAAGCGGAAUUCCUAGUGUAGCGGUGAAAUGCGUAGAUAUUAGGAGGAACACCAGUGGCGAAGGCGGCUUACUGGACGGCAACUGACGUUGAGGCUCGAAAGCGUGGGGAGCAAACAGGAUUAGAUACCCUGGUAGUCCACGCCGUAAACGAU
rnacentral:rRNA from 1 species